CUUAGGAUAUUAAAACCAAGGGCCUUCAAAGCCCUAAAAAAGGGUGCAAUCCCCUUAGUUUUUGUAAGACUUG
rnacentral:tRNA from 1 species